AUGGAGUUUUCUCUCUCUGUCCUGGAAUAGAGUCAGACUGUGCCCUGAGGAGAAGGAGAAUGGGACUACACCAU
rnacentral:pre_miRNA from 1 species